rnacentral:rRNA from 1 species
GAUGAACGCUGGCGGCGUGCCUAAUACAUGCAAGUCGAGCGAACAGACGAGGAGCUUGCUCCUCUGACGUUAGCGGAGGACGGGUGAGUAACACGUGGAUAACCUACCUAUAAGACUGGGAUAACUUCGGGAAACCGGCGCUAAUACCGGAUAAUAUAUUGAACCGCAUGGUUCAAUAGUGAAAGACGGUUUUUGUGUCACUUAUAGCUGGAUCUCAGCCGGUUUAGCUAGUUGGUAAGGUAACGGCUUACGAAGGCAACGAUGCGUAGCCGAGCUGAGAGAGUGAUCGGCCACACGGGAACUGAGACACGGUCCAGACUCCUACGGGAGGCAGCAGUAUGGAAUCUUCCGCAAUGGUCGAAAGCCUUGCGGAGCAACGCCACGUGAGUUAUGAAGGUCUUCGGAGCGUAAAACUCUGUUAUUAGGUAAGAACAAAUUUGUCAGUAACUAUGCACGUCUUGACGGUACCUAGUCAGAAAGCCCCGGCUAACUACGUG